GUGGUGGCUCAGUGGCAGAGCGCUUUACUAGCAUGUGUGAGGCACUGGGUUCAAUUCUCAGCACCACA
rnacentral:tRNA from 1 species